rnacentral:misc_RNA from 1 species
AACGCACCUUGCGCUCCUGGGUAUUCCCAGGAGCAUGCCUGUUUGAGUGUCAUGAAAUUCUCAAUCCCCACUUCCUUGCGGACGGUGAGGGUUGGAUUUGGAGGCUUUGCUGGCGUUGUCGGCUCCUCUUGAAUGCAUUAGCUCGGUUCCUUGCGGAUCGGCUCCUGGCGUGAUAAUUGUCUACGCUGUGACCGUGAAGCUUAUGGUGGGCUUAUAACCGUCCGUUAGCGGACAGCUUACCUUGACAUCUGACCUCAAAUCAGGUAGGACUACCCGCUGAACUUAA